UACGGGGGGUGCGAGCGUUGUCCGGAAUCACUGGGCGUAAAGGGCGCGCAGGCGGUGUGCUAAGUCUGCCGUGAAAUCUCCGGGCUCAACUGGGAGGCUGCGGUGGAGACUGGUACGCUUGAGGUACGUAGAGGUCGGUGGAAUUCCCGGUGUAGUGGUGAAAUGCGUAGAGAUCGGGAGGAACACCAGUGGCGAAGGCGGCCGGCUGGGGGUGACCUGACGCUGAGGCGCGAAAGCGUGGGGAGCGAACCGG
rnacentral:rRNA from 1 species